CUGACCAAAUAGCCUUCAGAAAGCUUAAGUGUUCCUUAAAAACUAUCGUGGGAUCAUGGAAAGGCUUCUUUGUCCCUUGGGGCCCAUUUGGGAUGAACCCAAGAUGCUGGCAGUGCCCUUGUGUUAACACCCCCACAGAGCACUCUCCAGACCUGGCUCGGCUCUCUCUCUGCCUCCGCUCUGUCUAUUCCUGGUGACCUCAGGCUGAGUGCUUCAGGGAAACUGCCCUUUACCUGCACUCAAGAGUCUGACUUGGAAAAAUGAUGCAAUUUCGGUCCUGUGCAGGUUGGUACCUGCAAGGCCCCGAAAGAGGUAGAAAAGUCUGGAUCAGGGGUGCCUGGGUGGCGCAGUUGUUAAGCGUUUGCCUUCAGCUCAGGGCGUGAUCCUGUCGUUUCAAGAUCGAGCCCCACAUCAGGCUCCUCCACUAGGAGCCUGCUUCUUCCUCUCCCACUCCCCUGCUUGUGUUCCCUCUCUCGCUGGCUGUCUCAUAAAUAAAUAAAUAAAUAAAUA
rnacentral:lncRNA from 1 species